rnacentral:rRNA from 1 species
UAGGGAAUCUUCCGCAAUGGACGCAAGUCUGACGGAGCAACGCCGCGUGAGUGAAGAAGGAUUUCGGUUCGUAAAACUCUGUUGUUAGAGAAGAACAGCGCAUAGAGUAACUGUUAUGUGUGUGACGGUAUCUAACCAGAAAGCCACGGCUAACUACGUGCCAGCAGCCGCGGUAAUACGUAGGUCCCGAGCGUUGUCCGGAUUUAUUGGGCGUAAAGCGAGCGCAGGCGGUUAGAUAAGUCUGAAGUUAAAGGCAGUGGCUCAACCAUUGUAGGCUUUGGAAACUGUUUAACUUGAGUGCAGAAGGGGAGAGUGGAAUUCCAUGUGUAGCGGUGAAAUGCGUAGAUAUAUGGAGGAACACCAGUGGCGAAGGCGACUCUCUGGUCUGUAACUGACGCUGAGGCUCGAAAGCGUGGGUAGCAAACAGG